UAAAGAAUCCUAUAGAACCCCAAUGAACCCUCUUUUCUAAGAGUGCAUGUAGCUACUAUAGUAAUUCCCAUAAAUCGUGCACAAUUACAUGCAACUAACCCUAAACCACACUCACUACCCGUACAUGUAGUUUAUUAAUAUUACUCAGUAAAUAUAUUACACUGUAACAGACACCUUCAAAUAAAGUGUAAUCAAACAUAUGUGCUCUCCUUCUCAAGCUACAAACAUCACUCUACCUAAAGUCAAGAUCCUUCCACCAUCUCCAAGAGAAAUCUGUUCCAAGACAGAGACAGAUUCAAAUCUGACGUUAGUGUGUGUGGCGACGGGCUUCUAUCCCGAUCAUGUGAGUUUGACCUGGAAAGUGAACGGCGAAGAGAGAGAGGACAGUGUAUCAACCGACCCCACAGCCCAUCAGGACAAUACCACAUUACUGUACCAUAUCAGCAGCAGAAUCAAAGUCUCUAAAAUACUCUGGAUGGAUCCCAGAAGUCAUUUCACCUGUACUGUUCGAUUCUACAACGGAGAAGAUUAUGUCAAUGUCACAAACACCAUAAAUGGUCAAAAAGAGAAGCCAAAGGGAUUGAAAGUGCUUGGCUUUGGCUACGUCGUGUUCCUCUGCAAGAGCCUGAUGUAUGCGCUGAUCGUGUCUGGUGUAGUGUGGAAACUCAAGUUUUCAAUGAAGAUGAAACCAUUUCCUGAGGACUGAUCAUGAACCUUCUCCUUAAGAGGCCAGAAGUGUCUUUCGUUAAUAUUUACGAAAUGUGUAAGAUUUCUGUGUAUUUUUUUGACUAGAUUCAUGUAGUUUUGUGAGACUUCAAAUCACACAUAUGAUAUUAUUUUUCUAAUUUUGAAUAAUAAAAUUUGACAAAUACCUUCUAAACCAUGAGU